CCAAUGAUUGGGAACCAGUUGAGGUUGAUAGAUCUCCUGGUUGCUAAAAUCAAAUACCCAUCUUUGUGCACCCUUUUUAUGUCUCUGGUGGUCGCAAGAGAAGUCUCUUAUUUGGAGGAUCUCUUCUAGUUCAUUUUGAUCCUCGGACAAAUGAAUGAAGCCACCAAAUGGUUGCUAUAACACACUUUUUUGCCGUCCAAAAUAUCUGUCUAACAUUGAUUUGUGUAAAAUACAUAAAA
rnacentral:misc_RNA from 1 species